CUUUUAUACUGAGCACUGUUUUGAUAGAGACAACAUCUUCAAUGAAAAUUUCCUUUAAAAACAAAUACUCAACCUAUAAUUUUAGAUGCUUAUUCUCUCAUUCAUCAUACACUUUAUGUAUUCUUUCAUAUAUAAUUAACCUGGACAUAUCAUUUAAAAACAAAUAUAUUGAAUUUGAUUAAUCACACUUAUAAUUGAUAUCUUUACACAUAUAAAUAUAUACAAAGUUAAAAUUAAAUAAGAGUUAAACAUUGUAGGCACACUAACACAAUCUUUUUGCUACGUUUUAAAAUAAAAUUAGUUUGUUCAACCCAAUCAAAGAGAAAAGGGUUACAGAAAAAGCCCAAACACGAACGGCGUCUCAGAAUUAGGGUUUCAACAGGUUCGUGAGAAUGUGAGCCAUCAACGAAGUGUAGAAAAGCUGUAGAAGUAACUGAGGAAUUGUGUUAAUUAGGACAGUAUCGUUUUGUAGCUUCUGUAUUCUAUUUUUUGUUUUAUAAAUAAUGAAGUACAUAUAUAAAAUAAUCAAUUAAAAAAAUGAGGCUCUUAUACUA